rnacentral:rRNA from 1 species
UACGGGGGGGGCAAGCGUUGUUCGGAAUUACUGGGCGUAAAGGGCUCGUAGGUGGCCAACUAAGUCAGACGUGAAAUCCCUCGGCUUAACCGGGGAACUGCGUCUGAUACUGGAUGGCUUGAGUUUGGGAGAGGGAUGCGGAAUUCCAGGUGUAGCGGCGAAAUGCGUAGAUAUCGGAAGGAACACCGGUGGCGAAAGCGGCGCGCUGGACCUCUACUGACGCUGAGGCGCGAAAGCCAGGGGAGCAAACGGG